CAUUAAAAUACGCAACCAACCGUCAUUGAACCGUCCAAUCAGAUCAAAGGAGUAAUCGUCGUAGAUCGUGCGUUAUCGAUAAUGUUCGGUGCCUGAAGAAAAUUGACAAUUGACAAGAGAAUUGUUUAUUAUUUUUGACUUUUUAGUUCGUUUAAUUUAAUAAUUACUAAAACCAGUAGUUCGAAAGAUAUAUUUAAAAAUAAAAGAUAAAAUUCCAAAAAAUUAAUUAUCUAUUAACGUGGAUUUGGACGACAAUAGGUAAGAACACUAAAUUUAUUUCUAUAUUCGAUAUAAACUUGUUUAUUAGGUUUUUAGUUUGUGAUGUUUCAUGUGAUGAUCAUCAUGUUCAUCGUCUUUGAAUUGACAUGAGGAUAUCUAUGGAAAAGUAACUAAUCUGAAAGUAAGCCAACAUAUCGUUUGUCCAUUGUGUGCUAACGAAAAGAUUUUCUUUUCGCAUCAUGAGGAAGUAUUACAUCAAUUGAAAAUUUUAGGAAGUUGAUCAUUUGUCAUGGAAAAGUAUACCAAUGGAAUUAUUUGUUAAAGAAGUAUAAUUCUAAGGGUUUUAAGAAUAAAUUGGUUGAACCCAAAAUCUGGAGGAAGUACCUAUAUCCAUACACAGAAUAUGCCCAUUAAAAAUACUAGUCCAAAUUUGCUUUAAUGGUAGACAAUUAUUCAAUACAAAUUAACUUUUUAAGUGACUGAAAUAUUAAAUAGUUUAGAAUAUGGUAUAACAAUGUAAAAAAAUAUUAUUUUCAGGAACGAUUAGGGCCCGAUAUAUUUGAAACUCAUGUUGGACAUAGUAUUGAGUUGGGUAGAAUAUUAUUCUACGUUAAGUGAGGGUAUCAGAUACCUAUUAUUGUACUGUAUUUUAAUAUAUACAUUAGAAUUGUUGGUUUUUU